rnacentral:rRNA from 1 species
UACGUAGGAUGCAAGCGUUGUCCGGAUCUACUGGGCGUAAAGCGCACGUAGGCGGAUUGUUAAGUGAGGGGUGAAAUCCCAGGGCUCAACCCUGGAACUGCCUCUCAUACUGGCAAUCUCGAGUUCGAGAGAGGUGAGUGGAAUUGCGAGUGUAGAGGUGAAAUUCGUAGAUAUUCGCAGGAACACCAGUGGCGAAGGCGGCUCACUGGCUCGAUACUGACGCUGAGGUGCGAAAGCGUGGGGAGCAAACAGG